GACGAACGCUGGCGGCGUGCUUAACACAUGCCAGUCGAACGGAAAGGCCUCUUUCGGGGGGUACUCGAGUGGCGAACGGGUGAGUAACACGUGAGUAACCUGCCCUUGACUUUGGGAUAACUUCAGGAAACUGGGGCUAAUACCGGAUAGGAGCUCCUGCUGCAUGGUGGGGGUUGGAAAGUUUCGGCGGUUGGGGAUGGACUCGCGGCUUAUCAGCUUGUUGGUGGGGUAGUGGCUUACCAAGGCUUUGACGGGUAGCCGGCCUGAGAGGGUGACCGGCCACAUUGGGACUGGGAUACGGCCCAGACUCCUACGGGAGGCAGCAGUGGGGAAUAUUGCACAAUGGGUGGAAGCCUGAUGCAGCAACGCCGUGUGCGGGAUGACGGCCUUCGGGUUGUAAACCGCUUUCGCUCAUGACGAAGCUUUGUGUGACGGUAGUGGGUAAAGAAGCACCGGCUAACUACGUG
rnacentral:rRNA from 1 species